GAUGAACGCUGGCGGCGUGCCUAAUACAUGCAAGUCGAGCGAACGGACGAGAAGCUUGCUUUUCUGAUGUUAGCGGCGGACGGGUGAGUAACACGUGGAUAACCUACCUAUAAGACUGGGAUAACUUCGGGAAACCGGAGCUAAUACCGGAUAAUAUUUUGAACCGCAUGGUUCAAAAGUGAAAGACGGUCUUGCUGUCACUUAUAGAUGGAUCCGCGCUGCAUUAGCUAGUUGGUAAGGUAACGGCUUACCAAGGCAACGAUGCAUAGCCGACCUGAGAGGGUGGUCAGCCACACUGGAACUGAGACACGGUACAGACUCCUACGGGAGGCAGCAGUAGGGAAUCUUCCGCAAUGGGCGAAAGCCUGACGGAGCAACGCCGCGGGAGUGAUGAGGGUCUUCGGGUCGUAAAACUCUGUUAUUAGGGAAGAACAUAUGUGUAAGUAACUGUGCACAUCUUGACGGUACCUAAUCAGAAAGCCACGGCUAACUACGUG
rnacentral:rRNA from 1 species